rnacentral:rRNA from 1 species
UACGAAGGGGGCUAGCGUUGCUCGGAAUCACUGGGCGUAAAGGGCGCGUAGGCGGCCGAUCAAGUCAGGGGUGAAAGCCUGUGGCUCAACCACAGAAUUGCCUUUGAUACUGUUCGGCUCGAGACCGGAAGAGGUAAGUGGAACUGCGAGUGUAGAGGUGAAAAUUCGUAGAUAUUCGCAAGAACACCAGUGGCGAAGGCGGCUUACUGGUCCGGUUCUGACGCUGAGGCGCGAAAAGCGUGGGGGAGCAAACAGG